CGUAUGGGGCGAGCGUUGUUCGGAAUUAUUGGGCGUAAAGGGUAUGCAGGCGGUUUCGUAAGUCUGGUGUGCAAGACCACAGCUUAACUGGGGGAACGCAUUGGAAACUGCGAGGCUUGAGUACAGGAGGGGGAGCUGGAAUUCCAGGUGUAGGGGUGAAAUCUGUAGAUAUCUGGAAGAACAUCAGUGGCGAAGGCGAGCUUCUGGCCAUGUACUGACGCUGAGAUACGAAAGCGUGGGGAGCGAACAGGAUUAGAUACCCUGGUAGUCCACGCUGUAAACGAUGUGCACUAGGUGUUGGGGCUUUUGGUCUCAGUGCCGUAGCAAACGCGAUAAGUGCACCGCCUGGGGAGUAUGCUCGCAAGAGUG
rnacentral:rRNA from 1 species